GGGGCUGUAGCUCAGUGGUGGAGCACUUGCCUGGCAUGCAUGAGGCACUGGGUUCAAUCCUCAGCACCACA
rnacentral:tRNA from 1 species